rnacentral:rRNA from 1 species
GUGAGGAAUAUUGGGCAAUGGGCGCAAGCCUGACCCAGCCAUGCCGCGUGAAGGUAGAAGGCCCUAUGGGUUGUAAACUUCUUUUAUACGGGAAGAAACUUCCGAACGUGUUCGGAAUUGACUGUACCGUAGGAAUAAGCAUCGGCUAACUCCGUGCCAGCAGCCGCGGUAAUACGGAGGAUGAAAGCGUUAUCCGGAUUUAUUGGGUUUAAAGGGUGCGUAGGCGGAAUGAUAAGUCAGUGGUGAAAGCCUGCGGCUUAACCGUAGAACUGCCAUUGAUACUGUUGUUCUUGAGUAUAGUUGAGGUGGGCGGAAUGUGUAAUGUAGCGGUGAAAUGCUUAGAUAUUACACAGAACACCGAUUGCGAAGGCAGCUCACUAAGCUGUUACUGACGCUGAGGCACGAAAGCGUGGGGAGCAAACAGGAUUAGAAACCCCUGUAGUCC